GAGCUUACCAUGCAGUCUACUUGAUCCUUCGGGUGAAGGUGGCGGACGGGUGAGUAACGCGUAAAGAACUUGCCUUACAGACUGGGACAACAUUUGGAAACGAAUGCUAAUACCGGAUAUUAUGACUGAGUCGCAUGAUUUGGUUAUGAAAGCUAUAUGCGCUGUGAGAGAGCUUUGCGUCCCAUUAGUUAGUUGGUGAGGUAACGGCUCACCAAGACGAUGAUGGGUAGCCGGCCUGAGAGGGUGAACGGCCACAAGGGGACUGAGACACGGCCCUUACUCCUACGGGAGGCAGCAGUGGGGAAUAUUGGACAAUGGACCAAAAGUCUGAUCCAGCAAUUCUGUGUGCACGAUGAAGUUUUUCGGAAUGUAAAGUGCUUUCAGUUGGGAAGAAGUCAGUGACGGUACCAACAGAAGAAGCGACGGCUAAAUACGUGCCAGCAGCCGCGGUAAUACGUAUGUCGCAAGCGUUAUCCGGAUUUAUUGGGCGUAAAGCGCGUCUAGGCGGUUUAGUAAGUCUGAUGUGAAAAUGCGGGGCUCAACCCCGUAUUGCGUUGGAAACUGUUAAACUAGAGUACUGGAGAGGUAGGCGGAACUACAAGUGUAGAGGUGAAAUUCGUAGAUAUUUGUAGGAAUGCCGAUGGGGAAGCCAGCCUACUGGACAGAUACUGACGCUAAAGCGCGAAAGCGUGGGUAGCAAACAGGAUUAGAUACCCUGGUAGUCCACGCCGUAAACGAUGAUUACUAGGUGUUGGGGGUCGAACCUCAGCGCCCAAGCUAACGCGAUAAGUAAUCCGCCUGGGGAGUACGUACGCAAGUAUGAAACUCAAAGGAAUUGACGGGGACCCGCACAAGCGGUGGAGCAUGUGGUUUAAUUCGACGCAACGCGAGGAACCUUACCAGCGUUUGACAUCCCAAGAAGUUAACAGAGAUGUUUUCGUGCCUCUUCGGAGGAACUUGGUGACAGGUGGUGCAUGGCUGUCCUNCAGCUCGUGUCGUGAGAUGUUGGGUUAAGUCCCGCAACGAGCGCAACCCCUUUCGUAUGUUACCAUCAUUAAGUUGGGGACUCAUGCGAGACUGCCUGCGAUGAGCAGGAGGAAGGUGGGGAUGACGUCAAGUCAUCAUGCCCCUUAUACGCUGGGCUACACACGUGCUACAAUGGGUAGUACAGAGAGCUGCAAACCUGCGAGGGUAAGCUAAUCUCAUAAAACUAUUCUUAGUUCGGAUUGUACUCUGCAACUCGAGUACAUGAAGUUGGAAUCGCUAGUAAUCGCAAAUCAGCUAUGUUGCGGUGAAUACGUUCUCGGGUCUUGUACACACCGCCCGUCACACCAUCGAGAGUUGGUUGCACCUGAAGUAACCAGGCCUAACCGUAAGGACGGGAUUUCCAGGGUGU
rnacentral:rRNA from 1 species